rnacentral:rRNA from 1 species
UAGGGAAUAUUGGGCAAUGGAGGCAACUCUGACCCAGCCAUGCCGCGUGCAGGAAGACGGUCCUAUGGAUUGUAAACUGCUUUUAUUGUAGAGUAAAUAUGGGGACGAGUUCCCUGUUUGAGAGUAUAUGAUGAAUAAGCAUCGGCUAACUCCGUGCCAGCAGCCGCGGUAAUACGGAGGAUGCAAGCGUUAUCCGGAUUUAUUGGGUUUAAAGGGUGCUCAGGCGGAACGGUAAGUCAAGGGUGAAAAUCUACUGCUUAACAGUAGCAGUGCCAAUGAUACUGCCGUACUAGAGUGUAAGAGGUGUAACUGGAAUGUGAUGUGUAGCGGUGAAAUGCAUAGAUAUGUCACAGAACGCCGAUCGUGAAGACAGGUUACAAACUUACAACUGACGCUCAAGCACGAAAGCGUGGGGAUCAAACAGGAUUAGAUACCCUGGUAGUCCACGCUGUAAACGAUGAUCACUCGUUGUUGGGCAGUAAUGUUCAGUGGCUAAGCGAAAGCGAUAAGUGAUCCUACC